rnacentral:rRNA from 1 species
UACGUAGGUGGCAAGCGUUACUCGGAAUCACUAGGCGUAAAGCGCAGGUAGGAGGUUUGGUAAGUCUAUUGUGAAAGCUCCCGGCUUAACUGGGAGAGGUCAAUGGAAACUACCAGGCUGGAGUGCGGUAGAGGUAGCUGGAAUUCCCGGUGUAGCGGUGAAAUGCGUAGAUAUCAAGAGGAACACCUGCGGCGAAGGCGGGUUGCUGGGCUGACACUGACGCUGAGGCGCGAAAGCUAGGGGAGCGAACGGG